UACGGAGGAUGCAAGCGUUAUCCGGAAUGAUUGGGCGUAAAGCGUCCGCAGGUGGCCAUGUAAGUCUGCUGUCAAAGCGUCUGGCUCAACCAGAUAAAGGCAGUGGAAACUACAUAGCUAGAGUAAGGUAGGGGUAGAGGGAAUUCCUGGUGUAGCGGUGAAAUGCGUAGAGAUCAGGAAGAACACCGGUGGCGAAGGCGGUUCUCUGGGCAUGACCUGACGCUGAGGAGCGAAAGCGUGGGGAGCGAACAGG
rnacentral:rRNA from 1 species